GAUGGUGAAUGGCAACGGGUGAAUACGAAAAACAGAGUCUUUACCGAGCAGUCUAGUUCUCCGCGAAAAAAUGAUUCAAAAGUGGGCCCCCAAAUCGAAAACAGUAAGUGAAAAUCCUUUUUGGAUUUUAUCUAAUGACUUGAAUAGUGGAAAAAUGACGUGUCAAGACCCCAUUAAUAAAACCACUUCAAAUUCCUUACAACCCAUACCCAUACUGUCACUUCAAUCCCACUUCAACUCCUCCUCUUCUGAAUUCAUCCCUGUAGCUCACCGCCUAUCUUCCUCUUGUCAAAUCCAUAGCCCUUUCACCUUCCCCAUACAUAACUUUACCAUGGCUAUUUCCAAGAAUAAAAAAUCGAAUAAAUACACAGAAAACACCUUCCAAUUUAUCUAUCCUAACCAUAACCACACAGAAAUUCUCCCACCAUGAGCAAGCUAACUUUGAGCGAAUACCUCAACAAGCUGAUAAACGAGGACCCCGACGAACUCAAAGAUCAAGGGGGUUUUCUAAGGCCUCCAAUUUUCAUACCCACGGUGAUCAAUCUGACGCUAUCACUGGCGAGGAACCUCAUAACAAAGACAAAGCUGGUGAUCACCUUCCCGGAGUCGAUGCUCAACCUGACUUCGUUCUAUGCUCAGGGUCUCCUCGGAGAAUGGCACGCCAUCACACCGGGUACCAUGAGGAGCAUUCUUCUGAAUCCGGAACAAGCUGCUUCUCUGUUUGUGCACCUUCAGAUUGGCUAUGGCAGAUAACCCAACACAGCUGGUUCCGGCUCACAUUCCAUCGAUCUUGGAUGUGAAGCACAUCAGCAGAGCUCUGGAGAUAAUUCUGAAAUGGUGGAUCAAACGCCUCCAACAAGACUACUCACUGAUGGUGGUUCCUUGGGAACUACAAUUUCUCAUCGACUCGGUUCUCGUGCUUCCGAAAGAAAGUAAGGUGUUAUCGAUUACAGAAUAAUGACUGGUGCUUGAAUCCCUAUUAUGAACAAACAAUGUCAAAAUGAUGCACCUCGUAAGGGAGGCGUAAUAGCUACACCUAUCCGUAGGAUGGGGAAAAGUGAAAGGGGGAGACGACGAGAUGUCGGAAAUCAAAAUACAAAAGAAUACGGUGUCCAUGUUCAACAACUUUUUGGAGAAAUGUGGAGCUGGACAAUUAUGCGGCUUACGCAUCGAGGAAGGAAAUGGCCAGACUUCCAAUAAUGAUUCCGGGAAUGACGGUGCUUCUGUGGAAUGCUAGGGGAAUAGCUCAGGAUGGUUUCAAGAGAAACAUCCGCCAGCUUAUCAAAUACCACGAACUUGACAUAAUCAUCCUCACUGAGACCAAAGUGUCUAAACUCAGUUGUGAAUCUCUAAUCUCUACCAUUCCAUACAACUCCUUCGAGGUGGUGGACCCUGUGGGUUUUUUUUGGAGGGAUUCUAGUCAUGUUGAACUCUUGCUCCAACAAAUCAUCACUGUUUCUAAACAACCCCGUGAUAUCCAUGUCGUUGUCCAGGCAGCAGUUGUAGAAUCUACCUGAGGUCAAGCUAUACUAUGGAGAAAGAGGGAAAAACGAAAUAGCUGACAUCCUGGCUAAAGAUGCAAGAAAAAAUCUAACUAUUUUGAAUCAGUUACGUAAUAUAGACUAUCCUCUUGAUGUAUGUAUUUCUGCUAUGAACAAGGAAGUAGUUUUACUAGAUAGGGAUGAUUCCCUCCAGAAUGUAAUUUUGGGCUAUCCGAUGGGAAGCCAAACGAACGAUGGAACCUUUUUAUUUAUGAAUUAAGUCCCUCUUUUAUCUCAAAGAAAAAGAAAUAACACACCCCUCUAAUAUAAGAAAAAUGCAUAAAUCCAAUAAGUGCAGAAGGUGUAUAGCCAUUAUAAGAGAACUUGUAAGAACACAUCCCUUUCACCUAAGAAAAUAGAAAAUAAAGACAAAGGUGGAAAACCUAGAUCAAACAAGGAAGUAAAAAAGGGGUUGAGGAAAGAAACAAAGACCAGUAAUCAUAUAUUGUCAUUUAGUCUGUUGGUAUAAAAAAAAAAAAUUGAAAA